UCCACCGCGUUCCCACUGAUAGAGGACCGAUGUGGUUCGUCGACCUAUAACCUAAAACGCACGAGUUCGAACCGAUUAUCGUGGAACGACGUAUCGAAUUCGAGCGAAUAAUGGUUUAAAAUGAAGCCACCAAACUAUCGUUCCGCGUAGUGACGCGAGUGUUGGUGAACGACGCGAGGAAAUUCUGAUUACGUACCCCGGACAGCGGUAUUAACAAUACGCAACAUUCUUCUUUUCGCCUAGUUCCGUCGGUGGUAACCAGCUGUUUUGUCCCGUCGUUCCCUUUUUCCUUUGGCUGCCUGACCGGCCACCCGAAAGAUGUUCCGAAUUGGAUUAAAAUUUCCGUGCAACGGUCUAAACAGGGUAUGUAAAGUCAAAAAGCAUGGACCUUCCAGACUCUACUUAACAACCAGGUGUUACGAAACACGUACACGAGUUAAAUGUGAGCCAGAGUGGAGGUAUUUCAAGGAUGUCAAACUUAUGUCCAGAAUAUCUGGACAUAGGUAUUCAACUGAUUCAUCGAAAAGUGAAAAGAGCAGUAAAGGCCCCAGGACACUGUUAACACUAACUGCAGUGGCUGUCGGAGCAUCAGGGGUGUUACUUUAUGCAAAGCACGAUCCUGUAUUUCGUGCCAAUCUUGAAGCCUGGGUACCCGGCACGGACAAGACGAUUCAGAUCAUCUUUCAGGAGGAAUCAUCUUAUUUUGAAUUCAUACGUACAUUCUUUGAAACAUUAAAACAAUCGAUAGUAAGUGCCAUUUUCGGAGAGGAGUCGCAGAAAGACAAACCAGCACCAAAGCCAGCUUUUGUACCACUGGUUGAUAAGAAGGAACCGCCUAUUAAUGAACCUUAUACGGAAAUAAGAUUAAGUAAAGAAAAAGGACAAGAAAUUGAAGUUGUGGCUGAGAAACCUGCGCCAAUUACGAAGAGUAUACCUCAGGAGUUAAUGCCAAAAAAUUUGGUCGAACUUGAAACGUCAUGCGGUGAAACUGCAGCCAAAGCUAUUGCCGCUUAUCAGAAAGCAGCGUGUGCAAUUCAAGAUUAUAAUCAAGAUGUUGUAAAAAUCGUGGAGAGUUCUCACGCUACGAUUGGGAGUUCCAUUUGGAACAGGCUAAAAGAUGCGACGGAAAAGAGGAAGAGUUCCGUUAAAGAGGCGGAAGAUCACGCCAAGCUCGCACUCGAGUCACUCAAGAAAAUGUAUAGUUUAAUAGAUGAUCCUCAAUUUGAUGCGCCUUCGCACGUGAAAACAGCUGCCCGUAGGAAUAUUAAAAAAAUAUUGGACGACGUGGACGACGCGAAGAAGAAAUACGAGGUGGAAAUAGAAAGCGGAAACAUGGCCGAGCGUUACUGGAAACAGGUCAAAAUAGCUCGAGAGAACCUCAAUGAAGAACUUCAAAUACUAUUCCCCGACAUCAAUAUUCACGAGAAAAAAUUAACCCUCAACGAGCACGCUUUCGACCUGUUCGUUCUACACAUGUACAACAAAGUGAGCAGCUUACAGAAGGAUUUGGAAAAAUUGAGAACGAUCAACGAAAGCAAAAUUAAGGCGGCGUUGAAGACGACGGGCGAUACGGCAGUGCAAGAAAAACUGGACACGCUGGUCUGUUUGGAAUUGGACAAGGAGAAACAGUUGCUUCAGGACGAGUUCAAUAAAAAGUUGUUGGAGGAGCAGAAGAAGUUUGAAGACGAUGUGCGGCGACAGUUAAAGUUGCAGGAACAGGUGCAUACUGACCAUCUUCAAGAAGCGAUUGCAUUGAAGCAGCAGGAAGUGAUGAGGACCAUGAAUCGCGCGCUGAGCGAGCAAGCAGAAUCCUUUUCCACGCAGCACAAGACUAGCCUCGCAGCCAUCGUCGGCAGGUUACGCGGUCUCGAAGCUGCGCUCAAGGCUCGCUUGGAGGAAGAAAGGGGUGCGUCGCACGCUCAGCUUUUGUGGUCAGCGUGCCAGACCUUGGCUCGGGCUGUGAAAUCCGCUUCGCCAGGUACUCCCAUAGAUGAGGCCAUCAGGCCCCUCGAACCAGAAAUCAGGGCCAUCGCCAAGGCAGCACCGAAAGAGGAUCCUUUGGUGGAGGCAGCCAUUCAGGGAAUUCCUGAGGUAGCCGCAAAGAGAGGAGUAUUCCCGGAAGACGUCCUUCGUGCGAGAUUCCUCAAGGUGGAGGAAAUGGCCAGACGAUUGGCUAUGGUGCCGGAGGAGGGUGCCGCGUUGCCGGUCUACAUCCUCAGCUAUCUCCAGAGUUGUUUGAUGAUCAAAAACGCCAGCCCCAUACCACAGCGCGAGAUCGAGGACCACCCGAUCGACGUCGACUCCCUCAACACUUACGAUAUACUCCAUCGGGCCAGGUAUUGGCUGGACCGUGGUGAUUUCAAAAUGACACUCCGCUACAUGAACCUGCUGAAGGGUGCGCCCAGGUCCAUUGCCAGGGACUGGAUGAACGAGACCAAAAUCAUGUUGGAGACCCAACAGGCGGUGGAUACCUUGCUGGCGUACGCCGGUUCCAUAGGUCUGGUGUUCCUCGGCGCCGGGGACUCGAAGGUCAGUCGAAACGAUUAGAACAAGGGAACAGACGCUACAUAGGAGAACAAUUUUUUUUUUUCUCUAGUUUCGUUAGGCUUUGUCCGUCGGAACGAUGAAUUCGAUUCGUUGGAUUGAGUGCUUUUGAAAUGAUCUUUUGAAAUUGGAGCAUGCAGUGUUUCAUGUUUAUAACUGCUGAGGUGCAUACAGGUGCUGACAAAUAUAAUGGAUUAUGUAAAAAAAAAAAGAAAGUAUUCUCUAGUCGACAGUUUUUUAUAACUUCUUCAUUUGUUUGGCUCCCCGAUAAUACAUUUAAACAUUCUCGUUUUCCGACUACUAUUUUUGCGAAUCCGAGCGGAUUACGGAACUCCUCGGAUUUCCCAAAUGCUUAAAAAAGAGAAAAGACAGAAAAAGACCGGUAAAGACCGACACAAAUCGAAACGACUAUUCGCCGGCCAGAGUGCUCGUCCCUUCGUGAAUUCUCUCGCGUCGACAAAGAACCCUCCCUCGAAAAGAAAGCACACGAAAAAAAAAAAAUACCAGAAACCGACCGAAACGAACCGAAAAGCGAAACCGCAAGCCGAGUGAAAACGAAAUCUCGAGACCUCGAAAAAAAAACUAAAUAUGAAAAAAAUGAAAAAAAGAGACGAUAAAAGGAGGAAAGCGCAGAUACUGGGAAAAACGUUCCUUUGCUUGUUGUUCGAAGUGUUCCAGUAAGGCUCGCGCGGAACAGGCCGUGGGUCGGCGAGCAUGACGAAGCCGAAGAGAACUCGCGCGGGAACGCCGCCGAACUGGCGGAAGAGCUCGCAGGACGACGAGGAAACGUGCCGGGAGAAAAUGGUCGUACGCUGCGGUCCGGACCACCGUGAACCGAGUGCUCGGAUGGGAAAUGUGGGAAACGAUCACCGGGGAUGAGAAACGAGCCGGACUCGAGCUCCUUCUGCGAUCGGAUUCCAAUGCGAUGACGGAAACGAAAGUUCUCCUGGUGCAGAGAGACGCACUGGAUCGCUCGCUUUAAAUGCUAUAUCUAUUUUUAUUCCAAUCGAGUUUAGGAAUUUCACGGUAAGACUGCUUGGAAUUUUGCUGUCCAAGCUUUGGCUCCUGUAUAAAAUCACAGUCGCGGUAUCUCAAAUCUUACGUUUUAAUUAAAAUGUUUAUUCUAUUCCUUCGAUGAGAAUCACAUUUUUAUUGAAAUGUUUGUGUGCGUGUUAUUUGAGUGUCUGGGAUUUCUGAGAACUGGAUAAAAAGCGAGAGAAAGUUUCAAUCGUAGGGAUGUUUCCCGCAAGGUUAAUUCAUUUUGUACCGCGUCUCCUGUUAAUCCAGGAUUUGUCAAAACGAAACUACGCCAUAUGGAGCUCGUUUCAAACGGGAAAGCGAAAAAGUUCAUGAGUCCCGGCAAUCCUCUGGCAAAAACCAGGCCAAACUUGUUUAUUUCGCACGAUUCACUGUGUUUCGUUUUACUAAAAAUGUUGAAGUAGGAAUUGCACCUAACAAAAAUUGUAUAUAGUAUAUCGAAUAUUUGAAACUUCUCAAAUUACAUUUGAAUAUUACACCAAAUAUCCUCAGCGUACAAAGAGAUCUUUCGAGAACGUUUCCGCCGCGAGCGAGUUUCUUGUUUCCUAAUCUAUCUAGACAAUCCAAGGUUAUCUUGAAUUCCUUAUACUUAUUAUAUUACAUAUUAUUAUAAAUAUUCUCGAUCGACCGUGGAUCGUCUAGGUGUCUUGUGGAAACCGUGCGAGUCGGACGAGUGAGAACUGCCUAGCAAUUAAUAGUGAAUGAUAAAAUAAACGUUACGUCGAUGCCGUCUGAACGAA